UGGAAGAUAUUCAUCAGGAUGUUCCUGCGAUCACAACUGUGUUCACAAUGGCACCUGCUGCCCAGAUUUCUGUUAUCAAUGUCCUUACAUUAAUUCUGGGUACUGUGGAUACACAACAGCAGAAACAAUAACAACAACACCAG